rnacentral:rRNA from 1 species
AGUGAACGCUGGCGGCGUGCUUAACACAUGCAAGUCGAACGAGAACGGGUUAUAGCUUGCUAUAGUUGUCAGCUAAGUGGCGCACGGGUGAGUAAUGUAUAGGUAAUAUGCCUCUUACUAAGGGAUCACAAAUGGAAACGUUUGCUAAUACCUUAUACUCCUUAUUAACAGAAGUUAAUAAGGGAAAGCUUUAUUGGUAAGAGAUUAGCCUGUAUUGUAUCAUUUAGUUGGUGGGGUAAUGGCUUACCAAGACUAUGACACAUAACUGGUUUGAGAGGAUGAUCAGUGACACUGGAACUGAGACACGGUCCAGACUCCUACGGGAGGCAGCAGUGGGGAAUAUUGCACAAUGGACGAAAGUCUGAUGCAGCAACGCCGCGUGGAGGAUGACACAUUUCGGUGCGUAAACUCCUUUUAUAUGAGAAGAUAAUGACGGUAUUAUAUGAAUAAGCACCGGCUAACUCCGUGCCAGCCGCCGCCGUAA